rnacentral:rRNA from 1 species
CAUGCAAGUCGAACGAUGAUGCCCAGCUUGCUGGGCGGAUUAGUGGCGAACGGGUGAGUAAUACGUGAGUAACCUGCCCUUGACUCUGGGAUAAGCCUGGGAAACUGGGUCUAAUACUGGAUACUACCUCUUACCGCAUGGUGGGUGGUGGAAAGGGUUUUACUGGUUUUGGAUGGGCUCACGGCCUAUCAGCUUGUUGGUGGGGUAAUGGCUCACCAAGGCGACGACGGGUAGCCGGCCUGAGAGGGUGACCGGCCACACUGGGACUGAGACACGGCCCAGACUCCUACGGGAGGCAGCAGUGGGGAAUAUUGCACAAUGGGCGGAAGCCUGAUGCAGCGACGCCGCGUGAGGGAUGACGGCCUUCGGGUUGUAAACCUCUUUCAGUAGGGAAGAAGCGAGAGUGACGGUACCUGCAGAAGAAGCGCCGGCUAACUACGUGCCAGCAGCCGCGGUAAUACGUAGGGCGCAAGCGUUGUCCGGAAUUAUUGGGCGUAAAGAGCUCGUAGGCGGUUUGUCGCGUCUGCUGUGAAAGCCCGGGGCUCAACCCCGGGUCUGCAGUGGGUACGGGCAGACUAGAGUGCAGUAGGGGAGACUGGAAUUCCUGGUGUAGCGGUGAAAUGCGCAGAUAUCAGGAGGAACACCGAUGGCGAAGGCAGGUCUCUGGGCUGUUACUGACGCUGAGGAGCGAAAGCAUGGGGAGCGAACAGGAUUAGAUACCCUGGUAGUCCAUGCCGUAAACGUUGGGCACUAGGUGUGGGGGACAUUCCACGUUUUCCGCGCCGUAGCUAACGCAUUAAGUGCCCCGCCUGGGGAGUACGGCCGCAAGGCUAAAACUCAAAGGAAUUGACGGGGGCCCGCACAAGCGGCGGAGCAUGCGGAUUAAUUCGAUGCAACGCGAAGAACCUUACCAAGGCUUGACAUUCACCGGACCGCCCCAGAGAUGGGGUUUCCCUUCGGGGCUGGUGGACAGGUGGUGCAUGGUUGUCGUCAGCUCGUGUCGUGAGAUGUUGGGUUAAGUCCCGCAACGAGCGCAACCCUCGUUCUAUGUUGCCAGCACGUGAUGGUGGGGACUCAUAGGAGACUGCCGGGGUCAACUCGGAGGAAGGUGGGGAUGACGUCAAAUCAUCAUGCCCCUUAUGUCUUGGGCUUCACGCAUGCUACAAUGGCCGGUACAAAGGGUUGCGAUACUGUGAGGUGGAGCUAAUCCCAAAAAGCCGGUCUCAGUUCGGAUUGAGGUCUGCAACUCGACCUCAUGAAGUCGGAGUCGCUAGUAAUCGCAGAUCAGCAACGCUGCGGUGAAUACGUUCCCGGGCCUU